rnacentral:rRNA from 1 species
AUUGAACGCUGGCGGCAGGCCUAACACAUGCAAGUCGAACGAGUGGCGGACGGGUGAGUAAUGUCUGGGAAACUGCCUGAUGGAGGGGGAUAACUACUGGAAACGGUAGCUAAUACCGCAUACCAUCGGAUGUGCCCAGAGGGGAUUAGCUAGUAGGUGGGGUAACGGCUCACCUAGGCGACGCUCCCUAGCUGGUCUGAGAGGAUGACCAGCCACACUGGAACGUAGACACGGUCCAGAGUCCUACGGGAGGCAGCAGUGGGGAAUAUUGCACAAUGGGCGCAAGCAUGAUGCAGCCAUGCCGCGUGUAUGAAGAAGGCCUUCGGGUUGUAAAGUACUUUCAGCGGGGAGGCGGGAGACGGAGAAGAAGCACCGGCUAACUCCGUGCCAGCAGCCGCGGUAAUUG